rnacentral:rRNA from 1 species
UUAAGCGACUAAGCGUACACGGUGGAUGCCCUGGCAGUCAGAGGCGAUGAAGGACGUGCUAAUCUGCGAUAAGCGUCGGUAAGGUGAUAUGAACCGUUAUAACCGGCGAUUUCCGAAUGGGGAAACCCAGUGUGAUUCGUCACACUAUCAUUAACUGAAUCCAUAGGUUAAUGAGGCGAACCGGGGGAACUGAAACAUCUAAGUACCCCGAGGAAAAGAAAUCAACCGAGAUUCCCCCAGUAGCGGCGAGCGAACGGGGAGCAGCCCAGAGCCUGAAUCAGUGUGUGUGUUAGUGGAAGCGUCUGGAAAGGCGCGCGAUACAGGGUGACAGCCCCGUACACAAAAAUGCACAUGCUGUGAGCUCGAUGAGUAGGGCGGGACACGUGGUAUCCUGUCUGAAUAUGGGGGGACCAUCCUCCAAGGCUAAAUACUCCUGACUGACCGAUAGUGAACCAGUACCGUGAGGGAAAGGCGAAAAGAACCCCGGCGAGGGGAGUGAAAAAGAACCUGAAACCGUGUACGUACAAGCAGUGGGAGCACGCUUAGGCGUGUGACUGCGUACCUUUUGUAUAAUGGGUCAGCGACUUAUAUUCUGUAGCAAGGUUAACCGAAUAGGGGAGCCGAAGGGAAACCGAGUCUUAACUGGGCGUUAAGUUGCAGGGUAUAGACCCGAAACCCGGUGAUCUAGCCAUGGGCAGGUUGAAGGUUGGGUAACACUAACUGGAGGACCGAACCGACUAAUGUUGAAAAAUUAGCGGAUGACUUGUGGCUGGGGGUGAAAGGCCAAUCAAACCGGGAGAUAGCUGGUUCUCCCCGAAAGCUAUUUAGGUAGCGCCUCGUGAAUUCAUCUCCGGGGGUAGAGCACUGUUUCGGCAAGGGGGUCAUCCCGACUUACCAACCCGAUGCAAACUGCGAAUACCGGAGAAUGUUAUCACGGGAGACACACGGCGGGUGCUAACGUCCGUCGUGAAGAGGGAAACAACCCAGACCGCCAGCUAAGGUCCCAAAGUCAUGGUUAAGUGGGAAACGAUGUGGGAAGGCCCAGACAGCCAGGAUGUUGGCUUAGAAGCAGCCAUCAUUUAAAGAAAGCGUAAUAGCUCACUGGUCGAGUCGGCCUGCGCGGAAGAUGUAACGGGGCUAAACCAUGCACCGAAGCUGCGGCAGCGACGCUUAUGCGUUGUUGGGUAGGGGAGCGUUCUGUAAGCCUGUGAAGGUGUGCUGUGAGGCAUGCUGGAGGUAUCAGAAGUGCGAAUGCUGACAUAAGUAACGAUAAAGCGGGUGAAAAGCCCGCUCGCCGGAAGACCAAGGGUUCCUGUCCAACGUUAAUCGGGGCAGGGUGAGUCGACCCCUAAGGCGAGGCCGAAAGGCGUAGUCGAUGGGAAACAGGUUAAUAUUCCUGUACUUGGUGUUACUGCGAAGGGGGGACGGAGAAGGCUAUGUUGGCCGGGCGACGGUUGUCCCGGUUUAAGCGUGUAGGCUGGUUUUCCAGGCAAAUCCGGAAAAUCAAGGCUGAGGCGUGAUGACGAGGCACUACGGUGCUGAAGCAACAAAUGCCCUGCUUCCAGGAAAAGCCUCUAAGCAUCAGGUAACAUCAAAUCGUACCCCAAACCGACACAGGUGGUCAGGUAGAGAAUACCAAGGCGCUUGAGAGAACUCGGGUGAAGGAACUAGGCAAAAUGGUGCCGUAACUUCGGGAGAAGGCACGCUGAUAUGUAGGUGAAGUCCCUUGCGGAUGGAGCUGAAAUCAGUCGAAGAUACCAGCUGGCUGCAACUGUUUAUUAAAAACACAGCACUGUGCAAACACGAAAGUGGACGUAUACGGUGUGACGCCUGCCCGGUGCCGGAAGGUUAAUUGAUGGGGUCAGCGCAAGCGAAGCUCUUGAUCGAAGCCCCGGUAAACGGCGGCCGUAACUAUAACGGUCCUAAGGUAGCGAAAUUCCUUGUCGGGUAAGUUCCGACCUGCACGAAUGGCGUAAUGAUGGCCAGGCUGUCUCCACCCGAGACUCAGUGAAAUUGAACUCGCUGUGAAGAUGCAGUGUACCCGCGGCAAGACGGAAAGACCCCGUGAACCUUUACUAUAGCUUGACACUGAACAUUGAGCCUUGAUGUGUAGGAUAGGUGGGAGGCUUUGAAGUGUGGACGCCAGUCUGCAUGGAGCCGACCUUGAAAUACCACCCUUUAAUGUUUGAUGUUCUAACGUUGACCCGUGAUCCGGGUUGCGGACAGUGUCUGGUGGGUAGUUUGACUGGGGCGGUCUCCUCCUAAAGAGUAACGGAGGAGCACGAAGGUUGGCUAAUCCUGGUCGGACAUCAGGAGGUUAGUGCAAUGGCAUAAGCCAGCUUGACUGCGAGCGUGACGGCGCGAGCAGGUGCGAAAGCAGGUCAUAGUGAUCCGGUGGUUCUGAAUGGAAGGGCCAUCGCUCAACGGAUAAAAGGUACUCCGGGGAUAACAGGCUGAUACCGCCCAAGAGUUCAUAUCGACGGCGGUGUUUGGCACCUCGAUGUCGGCUCAUCACAUCCUGGGGCUGAAGUAGGUCCCAAGGGUAUGGCUGUUCGCCAUUUAAAGUGGUACGCGAGCUGGGUUUAGAACGUCGUGAGACAGUUCGGUCCCUAUCUGCCGUGGGCGCUGGAGAACUGAGGGGGGCUGCUCCUAGUACGAGAGGACCGGAGUGGACGCAUCACUGGUGUUCGGGUUGUCAUGCCAAUGGCACUGCCCGGUAGCUAAAUGCGGAAGAGAUAAGUGCUGAAAGCAUCUAAGCACGAAACUUGCCCCGAGAUGAGUUCUCCCUGACUCCUUGAGAGUCCUGAAGGAACGUUGAAGACGACGACGUUGAUAGGCCGGGUGUGUAAGCGCAGCGAUGCGUUGAGCUAACCGGUACUAAUGAACCGUGAGGCUUAACCUU